UACGUAGGGUGCGAGCGUUGUCCGGAAUUAUUGGGCGUAAAGAGCUCGUAGGCGGUUUGUCGCGUCGACUGUGAAAACCUACAGCUUAACUGUGGGCUUGCAGUCGAUACGGGCAGACUUGAGUUCGGUAGGGGAGACUGGAAUUCCUGGUGUAGCGGUGAAAUGCGCAGAUAUCAGGAGGAACACCGGUGGCGAAGGCGGGUCUCUGGGCCGAUACUGACGCUGAGGAGCGAAAGCGUGGGGGAGCGAACAGG
rnacentral:rRNA from 1 species